GCCUGGGUGGCUCAGUCAGUUAAGCAUCUGACUUCAGCUCAGGUCAUGAUCUCAUAGUCUGUGAGUUCGAGCCCCACGUCGGGCU
rnacentral:tRNA from 1 species